GAAAUGCGAUAAGUAGUGUGAAUUGCAGAACUCAGUGAAUCAUCGAAUCUUUGAACGCACAUUGCGCCCCUUGGUAUUCCAUGGGGCAUGCCUGUUCGAGCGUCAUUUGUACCCUCAAGCUCUGCUUGGUGUUGGGUGUUUGUCCCCGUCUCCGCGCGUGGACUCGCCCCAAAGUGAUUGGCAGCCGGCGUACUGGUCCCGGAGCGCAGCACAUGUCGCGCAAACGAGUGCCUUGGUACGGCGGCGUCCAUAAGCCCCUCUCUCACGCUCUUGACCUCGGAUCAGGUAGGGAUACCCGCUGAACUUAAGC
rnacentral:misc_RNA from 1 species